CAAGUCGAGCGAGAAUCGUAGCAAUACGAGGACAGCGGCGAAAGGGAGAGGAAUACGUAGAUAUCUGCCCCUGAGACCGGGAUAGCGUCGGGAAACUGGCAGUAAUACCGGAUAACGUCUUUGGACCAAAGGUGUGAUUCCGCUCGGGGAUGAGUCUACGCCCCAUUAGCUAGUUGGUGGGGUAAUGGCCUACCAAGGCGAUGAUGGGUAGCGGGUGUGAGAGCAUGAUCCGCCUCACUGGAACUGAGAACUGCCCAGACACCUACGGGUGGCUGCAGUCGAGAAUCUUUGUCAAUGGACGAAAGUCUGAACAAGCGACGCCGCGUGCGGGAUGAAGGCCUUCGGGUUGUAAACCGCUGUCGUAGGGGAACAAAUGUAGAGGGGUUCUCCCCUUUAUUUGAGUGAUCCUAGGAGGAAGGAGAGGCUAAGCUCGUGCCAGCAGCCGCGGUAAGACGAGCUCUCCAAACGUUAUUCGGAAUCACUGGGCUUAAAGAGUUCGUAGGCGGCUCAGCAGGUCAGGUGUGAAAUCCCACAGCUCAACUGUGGAACUGCGCUUGAAACCGCUGGGCUUGAGGGAGACAGAGGUAAGCGGAACAGAUGGUGGAGCGGUGAAAUGCGUUGAUAUCAUCUGGAACACCGGUGGCGAAAGCGGCUUACUGGGUCUCUUCUGACGCUGAGGAACGAAAGCUAGGGUAGCAAACGGGAUUAGAUACCCCGGUAGUCCUAGCCGUAAACGAUGAGCACUAGUCUGUGGGGACCCUCACAUCCUCUCGGACGUAGCGAAAGUGUUAAGUGCUCCGCCUGGGGAGUAUGGUCGCAAGGCUGAAACUCAAAGGAAUUGACGG
rnacentral:rRNA from 1 species